CCUACGGGCCGCACCAGUGGGGAAUAUUGCACAAUGGGCGCAAGCCUGAUGCAGCCAUGCCGCGUGUAUGAAGAAGGCCUUCGGGUCGUAAAGUACUUUCAGCGGGGAGGAAGGUGUUGAGGUUAAUAACCUCAGCAAUUGACGUUACCCGCAGAAGAAGCACCGGCUAACUCCGUGCCAGCAGCUGCGGUAAUACGGAGGGUGCAAGAGUUAAUCGGAAUUACUGGGCGUAAAGCGCACGCAGGCGGUCUGUCAAGUCGGAUGUGAAAUCCCCGGGCUCAACCUGGGAACUGCAUUCGAAACUGGCAGGCUAGAGUCUUGUAGAGGGGGGUAGAAUUCCUGGUGUAGCGGUGAAAUGCGUAGAGAUCUGGAGGAAUACCGGUGGCGAAGGCGGCCCCCUGGACAGAGACUGACGCUCAGGUGCGAAAGCGUGGGGAGCAAACAGGAUUAGAUACCCCUGUAGUC
rnacentral:rRNA from 1 species